rnacentral:piRNA from 1 species
UAUGGUGUUUCCUCUAUUACA